rnacentral:rRNA from 1 species
CGCUCUUCAGCGCUACUGCCCCGCUUUGCCCGUGUGAUUGACGGAGGUUUCGGGGUGCUCUUCGUUGAGUGACUCGAGCGCCGUCAGGUUUACUUUGAAAAAAUUAGAGUGCUCAAAGCAGGCUUUUCACGCUUGAAUAUUCGUGCAUGGAAUAAUGGAAUAGGAACUCGUUUCUAUUUUGUUGGUUUUCGGAAAUCGAGUUAAUGAUUAACAGGGACAAUUGGGGGCAUUAGUAUUCAGACGACAGAGGUGAAAUUCUUGGACCGUCUGAAGACUGACUACUGCGAAAGCAUUUGCCAAGAGUGUUUUCAUUAAUCAAGAACGAAAGUUAGAGGUUCGAAGGCGAUCAGAUACCGCCCUAGUUCUAACCAUAAACGAUGCCAGCUAGCGAUCUACCGAGUUUUUUUUGUAGGCUCCGCAGGAAGCUUUCGGGAAACCAAAGCUUUUGGGUUCCGGGGGAAGUAUGGUUGCAAAGCUGAAACUUAAAGGAAUUGACGGAA